rnacentral:rRNA from 1 species
UACGUAGGUGGCAAGCGUUGUCCGGAUUUAUUGGGCGUAAAGCGAGCGCAGGCGGUUCCUUAAGUCGGAUGUGAAAGCCCCCGGCUCAACCAGGGAGGGUCAUUGGAAACUGGGGAACUUGAGUGCUGAAGAGGAGAGUGGAAUUCCAGGUGUAGCGGUGAAAUGCGUAGAGAUAUGGAGGAACACCAGUGGCGAAGGCGACUCUCUGGUCUGUAACUGACGCUGAGGCUCGAAAGCGUGGGUAGCAAACAGG